CAGUCGCCACGGUAAUACAGAGGGUGCGAGCGUUAAUCGGAUUUACUGGGCGUAAAGCGUGCGUAGGCGGCUUCUUAAGUCGGAUGUGAAAUCCCUGAGCUUAACUUAGGAAUUGCAUUCGAUACUGGGAAGCUAGAGUAUAAGAGAGGAUGGUAGAAUUCCAGGUGUAGCGGUGAAAUGCGUAGAGAUCUGGAGGAAUACCGAUGGCGAAGGCAGCCAUCUGGCCUAAUACUGACGCUGAGGUACGAAAGCAUGGGGAGCAAACAGGAUUAGAUACCCGCGUAGUCCCUGUCUCUUAUAC
rnacentral:rRNA from 1 species